rnacentral:rRNA from 1 species
UGAAUACGAGACGCUACGGCGUCGAAGCAGUCUAUGUCAUACUUCCAAGAAAAGCUUGCACUGUCAUAAACAAAUAAUGCCUGUACCAUAACCGACACAGGUGGGUAGGUAGAGUAUACUAAGGGGCGCGAGAUAACUCUCUCUAAGGAACUCGGCAAAAUGACUCCGUAACUUCGGGAGAAGGAGUGCCUUAAGAAAUUAAGGUUGCAAUAACAAGAUCCAAGCAACUGUUUAUCAAAAACACAGGUCUCCGCUAAGUCGUAAGACGAUGUAUGGGGGCUGACGCCUGCCCAGUGCCAGAAGGUUAAAGAAGUCGGUUAGCAUUAGCGAAGCUGGUAACUGAAGCCCUGGUGAACGGCGGCCGUAACAAUAACGGUCCUAAGGUAGCGAAAUUCCUUGUCGGGUAAGUUCCGACCCGCACGAAAGGCGUAAUGAUUUGGAUUCUGUCUCGGAGAGGGACUCGGUGAAAUAGACUUGUCUGUGAAGAUGCGGACUACCUGCACCAGGACAGAAAGACCCUAUGAAGCUUUACUGUAACUUGAAAUUGAAAUUGGACUUUACUUGCGCAGUAUAGGUGGCAGGCGUUGAGAAUAUUCUUGCGGGAAUAUUGGAGCCAUCAGUGAGAUACCACUCUUGUAAUGUUAGAUUUCUAACUUUGUAUCAUUAUCUGGUCAAAGAACAGUUUCAGGCGGGCAGUUUGACUGGGGCGGUCGCCUCCUAAACGGUAACGGAGGCGCACAAAGGUUUCCUCUGAACGGGUAGAAAUCGUAUCUAGAGUGUAAAGGCAUAAGGAAGCUUGACUGUGAGACCUACAAGUCGAGCAGGGACGAAAGUCGGUCUUAGUGAUCUGACGGUGCUGAGUGGAAAGGCCGUCACUCAACGGAUAAAAGUUACUCUAAGGAUAACAGGCUGAUCUCCCCCAAGAGUUCACAUCGACGGGGAGGUUUGGCACCUCGACGUCGGCUCAUCGCAUCCUGGGGCGGUAGUACGUCCCAAGGGUUGGGCUGUUCGCCCAUGAAAGCGGUACGCGAGCUGGGUUCAGAACGUCGUGAGACAGUUCGGUCCAUAUCCGGUGUAGGCGUUAGAAUAUUGAGAGGAGCCUUCUUUAGUACGAGAGGACCGAGAAGGACAUACCUCUGGUGUACCAGUUAUCGUGCCAACGGUAAACGCUGGGUAGCCAUGUAUGGAGAGGAUAACCGCUGAAAGCAUCUAAGUGGGAAGCCCACCUCAAGAUAAG